GAUGAACGCUAGCGGCAGGCUUAAUACAUGCAAGUCGAGGGGUAGCAAGAUUGUAGCAAUACAAUUGUUGACGACCGGCAAACGGGUGCGCAACACGUACACAACCUUCCUACAAGUGGGGAAUAGCCCAGAGAAAUUUGGAUUAAUACCCCGUAACAUAGCGAUGUGGCAUCACAUUGCUAUUAUAGCUUCGGCGCUUGUUGAUGGGUGUGCGGCUGAUUAGAUAGUUGGCGGGGUAACGGCCCACCAAGUCUACGAUCAGUAGCUGAUGUGAGAGCAAGAUCAGCCACACGGGCACUGGGACACGAGCCCGACUCCUACGGGAGGCAGCAGUAAUGAAUAUUGGACAAUGGACGCAAGUCUGAUCCAGCCAUGCCGCGUGAAGGAUUAAGGUCCUCUGGAUUGUAAACUUCUUUUAUAAGGGACGAAAAAAGGUCUUUCUAGAUCGUCUGACGGUACCUUAUGAAUAAGCACCGGCUAACUCCGUGCCAGCCGCCGCGGUAAAAC
rnacentral:rRNA from 1 species